UUACAACUUAGACGAUAGAGUACCAUUAGAGAACUCUACCGUAUUUUUUCUUAAUUGCUCUCCUUCUCUGGUUUUUCUCAAUUCUCCUUACCCUUUUUUUUACACUAUUCCGUUUUUCAUUCUCUCAUUAGAGAUCAGAAACCGUGGUUCUGAUUAGUAUUUACUCCAAUAAGUGUUCUAUGUGAGUAAUUUAUUAAUUUAAGGAGCUUGAGAUGUUAAACUACGGAUUGAAAAAUUUGCUAAAGAAACGAGCGAUGACUCCAAGAAACUACCAUAGUGAUCAUUGGCCCUCAUAUUUGAGAGGUAAGGGCUGAACUUCUUAUUAAUUCUCGAGUAAAUUACAACAAGUAUUUGUGGUUAUUGCUUUCACUGCAUCCGUUACUUCAUCGCGGUUUUUCUUCGCUCCUAUUUCUUUUUUUUUAUUUUUUAUUGUAGCCUUAUGUUGAUUAUGGGAAUUUGAUGGUCAUUUGUUGGUAGUCCCCUUCUUUAGGCUCUUUUGUUGCUUAAUUCAGGUAAUGCAUGUCAAUCGUUGUGCCUAAUUUUGAUAUGCCUAUCAUUAUCUAGCUGAAAAGGUAAUAAUUUGAUAGUAAAUCUUGCCUGUUAUUAUGUUGCUGAAAUAUUAAAAAUGUGAUAGUAAACUUUGCCUGUUUAAGUAUGUUCAAAGUGACAUUUCCAUGUGAAGUCAAUAUGAUGAACCUUAACAACUGCUUUAUUUUCAUCUGUAUCCAUGAAGAAUGAAACCAUUUGUUUAAUGACUUAAAAAGGUCCACUUAGAAUAUGUUUUGAACUCAUCCUCUAUGUCAAGUUCUAAAAAGGAUAAAUAUAAUGAAAUCCUUAACCCGAACAUCAAAAAUAAAGAGAAAAGGAGCGAUUGAAAAAAAGAAAGUGAAAAGGAGCAACAAAUAUGGAAAAAUGAAAAUGGAUGUAUGACUUAAAUUAAGGAUGAGAAUUUUUGGCAGGUUUUGAUUUGGAUGUCAACAUAUGCCCUGCAACCUUCAUCGGCUUCACCACCCUUUUGUUCCCAAUUUUCAAUGCUUAUAGCCAACAUUCUCUUUCUUAACAUUCAGAAAAGCCUAGAACCAAUUAUUUUCGACAAAUUUUAAGAAUUAUGGGAGGACCGAUUAGUGACGUUGUGUGAUAGUGAUUAAAAAUAGAAAGCUAAAGAGAUGUUAUGAGAAGAAAAGUGAAGACGUCUCCAGUCAUCAAUGACCAAACUUCAGUAGUUUCAUGGCCAAAAAAAUUUCAAAUCUUGGCUUCAUUAAAGUUCAAGAACCAAGUCUGCAAUUAGAUUAUCAACAUCUACUCAAAAGACUUCACAUAACAGAUAUUCAACAUUAAAAAACUUGAAAAGAUAUAUGUGUGCUCCCAAUUUUCUGUUAUGUUUUAUGCUUUCAGACGUACGAGGUUACAUAAAUUUUAGAUCGUAUAAGAUCAGAAUUCAGUCUUUGGCUAUAUGAGUGUUCUAAUUCAGCUCUUCUAUUAGUUCACUAGGUUCAAUGUCUCAAUAAUGGUGAAAAAAUUAUAGAAAAAAAAAAGUCAUGCUCAUUAUAGAGGUUUAAGGCACUAUUAAACAGGAAGAUAUUUACUUUUUCUUUGCUUUGCUAAAAAAUGCUACCUUUGAGCUUUGUCUAGAUGGUCAUAAUACACGUGAACAACAAAUUGCUGAAAUAAGUGUCUUCAUUAGGUUGGCUGCAGGGUUGGCAGAGUUAGAUUUAGUUGGGGCACUCGAAGAUAUUAAGGAGCCAUUGAUUAUUCUUCACAAUCAUCCCGUUGUAAGUUGAUUAUUUGUUAAUGUAGCUUUAAAUUAUACAUGAAACACAGGGUUUGUGAUUAAAGUUAACUUGAAGGCACAUUAGCUUUUUAAUUAUGAGCUCAUGGUCCCCCUAUUUUUAUCAGAGAGCAUAAACAAAUUUAUAUGAUUGCAUAAUAUCUUCAUUCACUUUCUGGUUAGUGUAGGAAGAGAAUUUUUAAGUCAUAGUGGAAUUGUGCAACUCAAACUACUGCUGACAAGAUCAAGGCUUGGAAUUUGAAAAAUUCUCCAAUCUAUCGGAAAAGGAAGAUAUGUAAUGUUAUGUUUUCCAAUUGUUAAUUUCAAUACAAUAUAGGUGUUUCCAUUGUUCUCUAUUGUAAUAACAAUAAAGAUCUUCUGGUUUACUGUUUGAAAUAUUGUUAUGACGAGUAAUGUUGCAAGAAAUUCUAUGGGUUACCAUUCCCCCCCUCAAAAUGAGUGUUGUAACGUGUCAAUUCAAAAAAUAUAUUGUAAUGCCAGUGAUCAUUUAGGACGUAGGAUCUGCUGUCCAUCUGUGUUAGGAGAUUGACAGAAUGGUUCUUUAUCAUUGCACCAAGCAGAUUCUCUCAUGAACUUUGUGUAUAUUUCACAUAUUUUGACUGUUGCCCCUUUUGGAUUAGGAGAAGGCAAAAAAUGGAAAGAAAGCAAAAGCAAAAUCCAGCAGAGAAGAAUCGCAUGCUGUAGUAGUAAAUAUUCUGAAAGAAGUGGAGGUCAAUGCUGUAAGUUAUACUAUUUUCUCCAAAGCAUAGUAGCACGUAUUCUAAAAAAGUGGAUAUAGCAGUAUAAGUGGUACUAUUUUUAAUUUGGAGAAGUACUUGAUCUUCAUACAUUUGACUCUCCUAGAAUUUUUCUUAGCUUUAGAAACAUGAAUUCACUUUUAAGUCAGUUUUGAGGUACAAUUAAAUUCAGAGAAAUCUAUAUCUUUUUCAGAAAGGGAAUUAAAAUUUUCCCUAAUAGUAGAAAACAGUUGAUACAUCACCCAUAUUUUAUUAUUAAUAAGGCAAAAGAUCCUCCUCAGUCUGAAUUACUGUUGAUCAUCUCUAUGUUACUCCAUCUCUAUAUUCGAAAGAAACUAUUGUGUAUUUUUUUAAAGUAGUACUUCUAUAUUAGUAACUAAUCUGUCAGAUUGGUGCUUAGUGCACGGUUAUAUAAUAGAAAUUGAAGAAGAAUAAAAUAAACAAAAAAGUUACAACAAUAAUAAUUUAUCCAAGCAUAAAUCUGUGAAGUUUUUAUUUGGUCAUCUUUGGUUGCUAUAAUUUCUUUUCAUACAAUUUGAUGUAUUCGCACUUAAAACAUGUUGAACAUUUAAUCUAUACGGAGCUAGCACUACUCAAAUGCACCACCGUUAUGUUUUCCUCUUCCCUUCAUGUAUAGCACUUACUUUACUUAUUAUUACUGCCAGCUUAGCUAAAAUGUUGUGGUUAUACUGUGGGUUCCAUAAUUUUUUGUGAUGUUUUUGUUGAUACUUAUACCUUCCCUUUGAAGGAUUGCUUUCUUACUCGAUAUGAAAAAUAAUUACUAUGUGUCUUUUAGCCUAUGCUAGCUCUUGGCUUUUGAGGUAGAGUGGAAGAGUCACGCUAUUUAAUUUCAUAAGUUUCUUUUAUUUCAAGUAUAAUGCAAGGUUUUGUACUUGCUGUCUUUCUGUAGUUUCUUUAAGUUAAGGAUUCAUAUAAGGCAUUUUAUUAUAUAAUUGUCAAAUUUAAUUCGAAUAGUCAAAUUACAUUUUGAUGGGUAGAUUCUUGGCAGGGAGAAUAAUAUUUUAUUCUUAGGUUCAAGAAAUUUAAGAGAACAGAUAGAGAAAUUUAAGCACGUCAAGAUGUAGCACUAAAACUGUGAACAAUCUAAGGUCACAGUCUUUCACUAGGAAGACAUACUCUAUCAAGUUAUCAACUAUAUAUGUAUAUCAGACAGUAGUCUUAACUUUUGAGAAGAGUAGCAUGGCUCACUAUAAAUCUGUAUUAUUUAUUGAACUUAGACUAACAUAUUUAAUGCUAAUCUAAAUUGAGUAACCGGACUGGUGAAGAUAUAUUUUGUACAUUGAUGAUAAAGUAUUGUAGAUUUUAUGUUGCUCCUCUUUUAACAGAAUAUAAUCUUCUUACCUCAAGCCUUCCUCUGCCACUGGCAGUAGAAACUUGCAUGGAAAUGUAAUGAUCCACUCAAAGUUAUUGGUUUUGUUUGGACAGCUACACUACUGACACAGGCGAACUUGCAGGGAAGAGGUUACUUUUUAUGCAAUUGAUGUCACCUUUCCUCCAUUCUCUCUAAAGAGAUUAGCCAUUUCUUUUUUGCACUGUUCUAUAGCUACUAAACUAUGCAAAUAUUCUUAUUUCUUUUUGAAGAUCGUGGCUGGUGAUCUUUAGUCGACUCCAGAACUGGCUAAUAAUGAAGAUGGGAACAUAAGGCCAUCUCGGACACUAUUAUACUGUAGACAAUUUGGAAGAAAAAAAAAUCCAAUGUUCAAAAGAUACUGAAUCUACAACAUAGCCACGGGAAUACAAAUGUCUUCAACUGUUAGCUUCUUGGACCUAAUUUAUAUGAUGUAUAUAGCUUAGACACUCUUUUUAGUUCCUUCAUAACAUUCAAGAACUCUGUAGGACCCCAUGGUUGUUUUUCCAGCUUCUGUAUCUUUUGUAAUUCUAUGGAUGUACUCAUAUCAACACCUAUUUGGUGUGACAUACUUAACAGCUUGAUUACUUAUCAAAAGAAAGGAUUCCGGAAUAUGCUACUGUAGUGUUG
rnacentral:lncRNA from 1 species